AUAUCUCUCUGUACGGGAAGGAUGAGAAGCUUCGACUAAGGUUCGAUUCGAUCGCAGCGAGAAAGCGUUGCCGCAGGCAACGACCCGAAGGGCGAAGCGCGCAGCGCUGAGUAAUCCUUCCCCCACCACCA
rnacentral:sRNA from 1 species